rnacentral:lncRNA from 1 species
CUCUGGCAAGUCACGACAAUGGCCACUACCCUACUCCACUCUCUGCAAUGGAUUCCACGUGGCUCCACCACUCUCUAGCAAGUCACGACAAUGGACACCACUCCACUCUCUGGCAAGUCACGACAACGGACACCACUCCACUCUCCGUAACAAACUCCACAUGGCCCUGAACGACCCCUGACGCCACUACUCUCCGUAACAAACUCC